GCUGCAGAGUUGCCUUGGUUGCUGAUUUGUGUCCAGGUGUUAUCCAAGGAACUGACUCCACACGGCUCCCCCCAACUCAGCUGCCCCUCAGUGUCACCAGAUGUUGCCUUCCUGCCUCUCGGCUGCUUCUGAUUUCAGUUGAGAAUUUCUCUUUGUCACAAAUUGCCUAUUCAGUUAAUAGAAGCCGUUGAGGGUAAGGCGCCCUUAGCAGUCAUCUGCUCAAUGGAACCCGA